rnacentral:rRNA from 1 species
GACGAACGCUGGCGGCGUGCUUAACACAUGCAAGUCGAACGGAAAGGCCCUGCUUUUGUGGGGUGCUCGAGUGGCGAACGGGUGAGUAACACGUGAGUAACCUGCCCUUGACUUUGGGAUAACUUCAGGAAACUGGGGCUAAUACCGGAUAGGAGCUCCUGCUGCAUGGUGGGGGUUGGAAAGUUUCGGCGGUUGGGGAUGGACUCGCGGCUUAUCAGCUUGUUGGUGGGGUAGUGGCUUACCAAGGCUUUGACGGGUAGCCGGCCUGAGAGGGUGACCGGCCACAUUGGGACGGAGAUACGGCCCAGACUCCUACGGGAGGCAGCAGUGGGGAAUAUUGCACAAUGGGCGGAAGCCUGAUGCAGCAACGCCGCGUGCGGGACGACGGCCUUCGGGUUGUAAACCGCUUUCGCCUGUGACGAAGCGUGAGUGACGGUAAUGGGUAAAGAAGCACCGGCUAACUACGUG